UACGGAGGGGGCAAGCGUUGUCCGGACUUACUGGGCGUAAAGGGUGCGUAGGCGGCCUUCUAAGUCGAACGUGAAAUCCCCGGGCUCAACCCGGGAACUGCGUCCGAUACUGGGAGGCUUGAAUCCGGGAGAGGGAUGUGGAAUUCCAGGUGUAGCGGUGAAAUGCGUAGAUAUCUGGAGGAACACCGGUGGCGAAGGCGGCAUCCUGGACCGGUAUUGACGCUGAGGCGCGAAAGCCAGGGGGAGCAAACGGG
rnacentral:rRNA from 1 species